CCUACGGGAGGCAGCAGUGAGGAAUAUUGGUCAAUGGACGAGAGUCUGAACCAGCCAAGUAGCGUGAAGGAUGACUGCCCUAUGGGUUGUAAACUUCUUUUAUAUGGGAAUAAAACGUUCCACGUGUGGGAUUUUGUAUGUACCAUAUGAAUAAGGAUCGGCUAACUCCGUGCCAGCAGCCGCGGUAAUACGGAGGAUCCGAGCGUUAUCCGGAUUUAUUGGGUUUAAAGGGAGCGUAGGUGGAUUGUUAAGUCAGUUGUGAAAGUUUGCGGCUCAACCGUACAAUUGCAGUUGAAACUGGCAGUCUUGAGUACAGUAGAGGUGGGCGGAAUUCGUGGUGUAGCGGUGAAAUGCUUAGAUAUCACGAAGAACUCCGAUUGCGAAGGCAGUUCACUGGACUGCAACUGACACUGAGGCUCGAAAGUGUGGGUAUCAAACAGGAUUAGAUACCCCUGUAGUC
rnacentral:rRNA from 1 species